CUUGGAUUUUGAGAUGUAGGGAACCAACAUACUCGCAAACCCUUCAAAAUAUGAAUUCUAGGACUAGUACCAUACUUCAGUCUGAAGGACUACAUUUCUGUGCGGAAGGAUUAAAAAACAACACCAGACUGGCAGCCAUAACAGAUGUCAGUGGGAAAUUUAAACAUGGACUAGAUACUUUGAUGUGUAGCAAAAAAGUUCAUUGAUAUAUUGACUGGGAUAGUAUUACUCUUCAGAAAUACAGAGCUGUCAAUGCUGCAAUUUUGCUGUGAAAUUCACAAUCCAUGUCCAAAAGUGCUUGUUUUACUAUACAGCAAAGAAGGAGAAAUUGUACUGGGCCGACACCAUUACAUCUUGAUAGCUAUGACGCAAAUUUAAGUUUAUACUGACAUAUUUAAAAGUUUUUAAAACUUGCUGAAAAAGCUAUGGGAGGUACAAACUGGUAUUUGUCUAUGGCCCGGAAAUGUUCGGAAACCUUCGGAAGUACACGAUUCCGAUAUGUCUUUUCCGUGAGAAUUCCGUUUCUAUUUUUAGCCAUGGAUAUUAUUGCUUUCUGAAGUUAUCGUUCUUUAUCAAACACCCGCAUAUUUCUGGUGUAAUAUAGGUGGCGCUGCGGUCGGAAAACAGGUUUCCCCGGGCUGUCAAUUUGCAGGUGGGAAAAAAGUUGUCAGACUGGAUUCCCAGGCUAGAGUGCCAGCUGCAAUCGCUGAAAAGAAAGACACCAAGAUGUGUGUGUCCAGUAACUUCGGAUAUCUGUUGCCCAAACAUAGAAAGUAUGGGAUGAGGAGAUGUAUUUCGUUAUCUGGAGACAAGGAGGGAUUCCGAUUUGGAAGGAUUAAAUGUAACAAGCCAUAUGUCAGCCCAAGCAGAAAUUUUGAGUAUAUAUCUCUGAAGAAGUUCAGAUGCCUCCAGGGGCCGUUCAACAAUAACGUAAAAACUAGUGUCAUCGGCAAAAAAGUUUUAUGGAAGACUGGAUGUAAAUAACUAUGUCAUGUAUAAAAACAGAAAGAGCCCUUAGGGACUCCUGCUUUUAUUGUAGCCCAUGAUGACUUAAAGCCAGGAAGAACAACGCGUUGACGUUGGGCAUAACGAUAGUCUGAGAUCCAAGCUAGAAGGGAACCUGAAAUACCUGCCCAGUAGACACCUAACGUCGUACCGACGUUGGUUAGACGUUGGAUUUUGGUCGCGACGUCUAACAGACGUUAGACUUAGACGUCUAGAGGACGUUGGAAUUAGGUUGGAUAGAAAGUCUGAUAAAUGUUUUUAGUUAUAAAUCUAACUGGUAUAAGUUUGAUAGUAUAGUUUAAAGAUAUUUACUUGUUAUUAUAAAGGCCUGGACAUGCGUUUAUAAAUAAUAGUUCAUUGGCACAUGAAAUAUUAUUAAUUUGAUUAUGUUACAAUAUUGCUUGACAUUGUUUAUUUUCGGAAUCUGAUUUUUCUUUUUCACGAAUUUCAAAUUGUUUAAGAAAAAAAUGCAUUCUAUACUCAUGUAUAAAUUAUUCCAAAUUCACCUAAUGAUCUUCUCUUCUACACAUGUCUAUUAAUCAUACAGUCACGAGGUAAGCCUGCAUCGGUUUACACAGUCUUCCUGUAAUUUGAUAUCUGUUUGGAUAAGAUAGAGCACGUUUAUGAAUACUACACAAAGGGAUCCGCAACGUGAGUAACAGAUAUUUUUUAAAUUACACUUAUUUUAAUUGUUAAAGUUAUAAAUGUUCCGUAUUUUUCAAAGAUUGAUGCAUUUUAUUUGUUACUUUAAAGAGCAAUUGCGUUUAUCAACGAACUUCGUUACAUUUUACGAAGUUUUAGAAGACUUGUUAUAGAAUUUAAAAUAUAACGUGUUUGUUUGUCUCGUAGCAAUUAUGUUCUUAGUAAUAACACUAGCACACUGUCAGGAUACUGAUUAUAUGACCAAGGGAAGUGCCUACGCCUUUAGUAUCUUGAACAAUGGCUUGGGUCCAAUCGCUAAGGUGACUAUGUCGGAUGUCUCUUAAUUGCUUUUUGUACAUUUAGCAUGUGUAAAUGAUGAGUUCUGCUCAACCCGGGGCUAGAGGGCGUGCACGGUAGCAUGCAUUUUCACUACCGUCCAUGAACAGGCUCAAUCAAACCGAGCCUGCAACAUUUUCGUUUUUGUCGUGUUGAACGACCUGUGGAGUUUCCACUUUUUCUAUUUUAGACUAGCUGACAAACGAUGUAGAAUGUCCUUUAUUUAAACGUAGAGCUGGUGAAAGCAAAUAUCUCAUAUAUAGAAUUUUCCUCUGGCUACCUGGCCUAAAUGAUUCGUGUACCAAUGAUUCGUAAAUGAUUUCUAUUAUGAGCUAGCCAAUUUCAUGGAUCAGGCAAAUCACUAAAUGCUUCAAACUAACAAUUUUCAAUUAGCUUAAACUCCUUUAGGCUGGAGACUAUACUUGACUGGUAUUUUUGUUGAAGUUCCCGUCAGACAAUGUCUUUGAAUCAACAACAUACGAGUCCUAUCGCAUAGAUGCUCGGCCUCUGUCCUCUCAAACUCUAUGAUUGCCCUGACUCCUGGAUGCUCAGCGCCUAUAUGUUAUCACAUGUAGCAUUCAACUACCAUAUAUCCCCGAUGCCUUGGCUGUACUUCGCCAAUAAUGCUGAACCGUCUAUAAGCUGGAACUCUCCUACUAUCUCAGUAGAUUACCAAACUCUGGGUCUCUGUCUCAGCUUCCCGAUGCUCAGCCUAUAUAUGCUAUCGUAUAUAGAAUUCAACUACCCUUAAGGUAAAACUCCUAUGCGCUGGCCCUAUAGCUCAAAACCUUAUUGAAAUUCUGCAACUCUUCUUUAGUCUUCUUCUUGUUGGCGUUCACCGCCUACAAUGUCACCCCUGAUCCAGCAAUGAAGGAUGCUGUCUUCUUCAGGUCCUCCUUCUUGCCGUGCACUUUGCUAUUCAUUGGGGUGCUGUUUGGCCACAUACUUUUUCUUUGGUUUUCCAGGUGUGGGCAUCUCUGCAGAAUGUGCUCAGCAGUUUGCUGUUCCAGACCACAGGGGCACAUCGGAGAGGGAGACAAUUUAAGCUUUGUGCACAUGUGGGCAUUUAACCUGUUAUGUCCUGUGCGGAGCCUAAAGAUGAUGACUUGUUCCCAUCUUUCUAGUAGGUGGUAGUCAUCCUUGGUUGGCCUUGGCUUUGUAAGUGCUUUGAUCAUUGUCACCUUCUCCUCGUGAGUAAUGGCAUUCUGUGGCUGGUUAUCUGUAGCUCCAAGCUUGGCUAAUCUGUCUGCAUUCUCAUUUCCAGGUACACCACAGUGUGCAGGUAUCCAUUGUAAGGACACAACUCUUGUUUUACAUAGACUGAACAGUGCCCUGGAGAUGGAUGUUUGUUUGGAAUUUUCCAGUGUUUGGAGUACUGACAGAGCAUCCGUGAAGAUAACCACGUUGGGGCAGCUCUCUGGAGACUCCUCAGUAGAAAUUUCAGCGGAGUUAAAAGAAUCAUACAAAAAUGACGAAACUUGAAAGUUUCAAUUACUGGAUUACUUUUUGGACCUAUAUUAGACUUACGUCGCCAUUAUAUGAAAUAAAGAUGAUAAAAC